AUGCCCCACAUAGCCAGAUGUCCCCAGCUCGCACCCACGCCCCCGCUCGCCCCCACGCCUCAGCCCCUCCCACGCUGUCUUCUUCUUCUUCUUCUCCACACCAGAAGCAGAUCCAACAGAAAUCGCCCCCAACCCUUCUUCCUUCUCCUACACAGCCGUCAUGGGAGCCCCAAAGUAGAAGGAGCUGCUUCAAGAUCUAAAGGGCAGGGUGGGAGUGUGUGGCAGCAUCCAAAAACAAGGAAAAAAAUGCUUGAUCUCAGUGAGUUGCCUCCAGACCUCAAUGAGCUUCCUCAUGAUAUGGAUCAGCAGCAACCCAGCAUACAACAAGGAAAUUGGACAGAAAAUGGUCGAUCUGUUUACUACACGCAGGCAAGUUGUGAUGGUAACCCUACGGGCCAAGACAAUGUGGCAGGCCAGUCAUCAGCCCGUGGUGCCCCUGUAGUGGUGUCUUUGCAGUCAGAGAGCCAUACUCUUGAUGACACAGGAACCGAGGCAAAUGUUCCUGGUCCAACCAGGACUGAGCUAGGAGCUGGCGCUGUUGACGGAGCUGUGCAAGUAGAAGAAGGAGAGGAUGAGGCUGUUCUGGAUAUAGGUGAUGUCAACCCUCAAGGACCUCCUCCCCCUCCUGGCUAUACACGGCAUCCUCCGCCACCUCCUCCCCCGCGUGCUCCUCCCAAUGGCCCUAUAGGCAGCACUCAGGGGGCUCAUCAUCCAGGUGAUGCCAACCCUCAAAGACCUCCUCCUCCGCCAGGCCCAACUAGCAGUGCCCUUUGUGCUACUCCCAAUGGACCUACAGGCAGGACUCAGGGGGCUCAUCACCCAGGCGACUACAAUCCAAGUACCAUGACAGGUCGUGCUACUGCAGGUGAUCGUGACGGUCCUACUGCCCCGUUGGAGGCUGCAUCCCUUGCACAAGCUUCUGAUGAUUUUGUGCCCAGGGAUCCUCCAAGGUCUACUACAAAGGAUAGGGCAAAGAGUCGACGGUACAAAUCGGCGCUGGAGCUACACCCAAAGAAGAAAAACAAAUACAGCCAGUGCCAAUCUAUAGAGCACACUGCUGGUUUGUGUCCACUCAGGCUCCUGUGA
rnacentral:rRNA from 1 species